rnacentral:rRNA from 1 species
UGGGGAAUAUUGGACAAUGGGCGGAAGCCUGAUCCAGCCAUGCCGCGUGUGUGAAGAAGGCCUUUUGGUUGUAAAGCACUUUAAGCGAGGAGGAGGCUACUUGGAUUAAUACUCUAGGAUAGUGGACGUUACUCGCAGAAUAAGCACCGGCUAACUCUGUGCCAGCAGCCGCGGUAAUACAGAGGGUGCGAGCGUUAAUCGGAUUUACUGGGCGUAAAGCGUGCGUAGGCGGCUUUUUAAGUCGGAUGUGAAAUCCCUGAGCUUAACUUAGGAAUUGCAUUCGAUACUGGGAAGCUAGAGUAUGGGAGAGGAUGGUAGAAUACCAGGUGUAGCGGUGAAAUGCGUAGAGAUCUGGAGGAAUACCGAUGGCGAAGGCAGCCAUCUGGCCUAAUACUGACGCUGAGGUACGAAAGCAUGGGGAGCAAGCAGG